ensembl:snRNA U6 U6 spliceosomal RNA
GUGCUCAUUUGGGCAGCACAUAUAUUAAAUUGGAAUGAUGCAGAGAAUAUUGGCAUGCCUCAUGUGCGAGUGUGGACUGCAAAGUUGUGAGGAGUUGUUCUUCCUU